UCGAAGAAACUCUGACCGAACCCGCAGUCCAUCGUCCCCUUCAACAGCUCCGCUUGUGCUGCUCCACCGCUCCCCCGCGGCACCGGCGACACCGCGCAGCUCCACCACGCCGCUCCGAUGUGCCGCGCAGCUUAACCACGCCACUCCGCCGCAAUCCGCGGCUCCACUACGCCGCGCUGCCGUGACCCGCAGCUCCAUCGCUCCUCCCAUCCUUGCCCGUCGAUUUGUUCCCUAAAAUACUCACCUUUCCCCAUCCCUGCCCGCGACGAGGCCGAAUGUGUACCACUCCAGCAUCCCCGGCACGGCGUCCAGCCAGAGGAAGAGGGAGUUGUGGGCGGCGGCGGCGGACUCUAGCCCUCCACCAGCGCCUCGAUGUAGGUGUUGGAGCCGCCGGCAAAAUUUCAAACCGGGAAGAGCAAAAUCUCACAUUUCCUUUUCCGGCAGAGACAAAGGAAGCUCUCCCCUCUUCAUAGGGUACGCGCAGAGCACACACCACUACAGGCUCUCUCCUAUGAAAUCUUGUCUAGCUAAAUUUAAUGGUCUAGCUGCUCCCUGCUCAAUUUUUGUGCCUGUGGUGUCUGGAGUCUGACUUGAAGAUCAGAUCCAGCUCCAUAAUUUCCAGUUUAUAAAAUUUCACUGAAUUUUACUGUAUGAGACAACCUGUAUAAUUUUUAGCUCCAUAAUUUCUAGUUUGUAGAGCUGGAGGUCAGAUUCAGCUCCAUAAUUUUAUUUUAUUUUACUGAGAGAGGUAAUGUACUCCCUAUCUCAGUUCUUCUGUUGCAUGGCCAUUCCUUAAAGAAACAUGACACAGCAAAAUUUAGAUGAACAUCCUCAAGACCUUGUUCUUAUUCUUAUUCUUUAAUCUAAAUUACUCACUGAAUUUUUAUUCUUAUUCUUAGUGUCAAAAUUCAGAGUUGGGAGCAGUUGUUGUUGACUAAAGGUUAUGCCUCCAAUGCCAAGAUUGACAGAAGUAGUAAGAGUAGAAGAAGAUUACCGUAUGCACUGAAUUAUUUUUGACAGUAGUUGUUGUUGACUAAAGGUUAAACCAUCGACCAAUUCACAUUGCUGGCGCCGCUGUCCCAUAGAAGGUCAGCACAAUGCACAUCUCCACCGCUCCACCGCACAGCUCCAUCUCUCCUGCAUGUGGUGAGCCCACCCGUUGCUUUCAAUGCCACGAGCAUGAAUGAGCUAAGAAAAUGGAACGAACAAUACGACAAAGGUGGCAGCAGGAGUAUAUCACCAUUUGGGUUCGGCAGCUAACAUGAUUCCGAAUUGUCGUGCCGCUGCUGCUUCAAUCUAUGGCUCCCUUUGCUCCUCGCUCUCCUCCCUUUGCUCCUGGUCCACCACCGCCAUGCUGCUGCUUCAAUUCAACAGAGGAGGCUGCUGAUGCUGCCAAUUAACAAAGGAGGCGAUGACACCGCUGUCGCUGCCAAUCAACAGAGGGGGCGAGGACAGCCUGCGGCGGUGAUGGGCGAGGGGACGAGGAGGGGCGGCGCAGAUUGGUAGCAAUGGCGCAGGUGGGUGGCGGCGCGCUGGGCCCUACGGCGACUGCCGGCGGUGGCUGGAGCUAGUUCCUACCGCGGGCGAUACUUGGGACGAACGUGGCGGGCGAAGAACUAUCGGUGGUCGUCGUAAUUGAUGACGGGAUCGCGGGCAGAGCGGACCGGCAGGUUCCAUGGCUCCACCGCCGCCAGCUACACCUGCGCUGCGGGGUCGCCGGGGACGGGGACGGGGAGGAGGAUGAAGCAGAGGGGGGCGGGGCCGUGAUUAAUAGGGCGGCGAGGCGAGGCUCAGGGAUAGCGCAGGUGGGCGGCGUUGGCGCUGGUGCGCGCGGGGGGCGUUGGGCCUUACGGCGUCUGCCGGAGUUGGUUCUUGCUAGCGGGGCGCAAGCGAGGGUGGAAGGAGGAAGAGGGGGUGAUUAGCAAGGGGAUUGAAAUCGUGAGUUUUUUUUUUGCAAAAAUGAAAAUGAACUAACCCUUGGACAAGUUUUCCCACAGACGGAGGGAGUAUUACAAAAAUCAUUAUCUACUAUCCAUGCUACACUUGUAUCACCAUCUCUUCACCGAACCAGUGCAUCUAUACAAAUUAUCAUUGUA